GAAUGUCGGCUUGAGUAGCGCAAACAUUGGUGAGAAUCCAAUGCCCCGAAACCCUAAGGGUUCCAGAGGCAGGUUCGUCCACUCUGGGUUAGUCGGGACCUAAGGCGAGGUCGAAAGGCGUAGUCGAUGGAGACCGGGUCAACAAUCCCGGACUACAAUAUGGGAGCAAAACUAGGGACGCAUGAAAGAUAGCCACGCCCUGAAUGGAUUGGGAAGACCGUUACGACGGUCGAGUGGUGAAGGAAAGUGCCAAGAAAAGCUAGGGUUGUGAUGAACAUAUAGUACCCGUACCCGAAACCGACACAGGUAGGGAGGUUGAGAAUACCAAGGGGCGCGA
rnacentral:rRNA from 1 species